rnacentral:rRNA from 1 species
UGCAAGUCGAACGAACUCUGGUAUUGAUUGGUGCUUGCAUCAUGAUUUACAUUUGAGUGAGUGGCGAACUGGUGAGUAACACGUGGGAAACCUGCCCAGAAGCGGGGGAUAACACCUGGAAACAGAUGCUAAUACCGCAUAACAACUUGGACCGCAUGGUCCGAGUUUGAAAGAUGGCUUCGGCUAUCACUUUUGGAUGGUCCCGCGGCGUAUUAGCUAGAUGGUGGGGUAACGGCUCACCAUGGCAAUGAUACGUAGCCGACCUGAGAGGGUAAUCGGCCACAUUGGGACUGAGACACGGCCCAAACUCCUACGGGAGGCAGCAGUAGGGAAUCUUCCACAAUGGACGAAAGUCUGAUGGAGCAACGCCGCGUGAGUGAAGAAGGGUUUCGGCUCGUAAAACUCUGUUGUUAAAGAAGAACAUAUCUGAGAGUAACUGUUCAGGUAUUGACGGUAUUUAACCAGAAAGCCACGGCUAACUACGUGCCAGCAGCCGCGGUAAUACGUAGGUGGCAAGCGUUGUCCGGAUUUAUUGGGCGUAAAGCGAGCGCAGGCGGUUUUUUAAGUCUGAUGUGAAAGCCUUCGGCUCAACCGAAGAAGUGCAUCGGAAACUGGGAAACUUGAGUGCAGAAGAGGACAGUGGAACUCCAUGUGUAGCGGUGAAAUGCGUAGAUAUAUGGAAGAACACCAGUGGCGAAGGCGGCUGUCUGGCUGUAACUGACGCUGAGGCUCGA